rnacentral:rRNA from 1 species
GACGAACGCUGGCGGCGUGCUUAACACAUGCAAGUCGAACGGAAAGGCCCUGCUUGCAGGGUACUCGAGUGGCGAACGGGUGAGUAACACGUGGGUGAUCUGCCCUGCACUUCGGGAUAAGCCUGGGAAACUGGGUCUAAUACCGGAUAGGAGCCAUUUUUAGUGUGAUGGUUGGAAAGUUUUUUCGGUGUAGGAUGAGCUCGCGGCCUAUCAGCUUGUUGGUGGGGUAAUGGCCUACCAAGGCGGCGACGGGUAGCCGGCCUGGGAGGGUGGACGGCCACAUUGGGACUGAGAUACGGCCCAGACUCCUACGGGAGGCAGCAGUGGGGAAUAUUGCACAAUGGGCGCAAGCCUGAUGCAGCGACGCCGCGUGGGGGAUGACGGCCUUCGGGUUGGAAACUCCUUUCGCUAGGGACGAAGCUUUUUGUGACGGUACCUAGAUAAGAAGCACCGGCUAACUACGUG